GCAAACUUGGUCAUUUAGAGGAAGUAAAAGUCGUAACAAGGUUUCCGUAGGUGAACCUGCGGAAGGAUCAUUACAAAUCCAAAACAAACGAACCGUUUAAAUGUUCUCGGCCUUGGUUUUGCUGGUUGUUUAUUAUAUAUGCGGAGAAGACAAUUCGCCUCAGCGGGGUUGGUGGUUUGCCUUUAACGCAUGUGACAACGUCGCGCCAAGGUCCGAAUCUGAUCGACCAUUUCUUUUUGACAUUUGUUAUUAUACAAAUUUCAAUCUUUGAUUGAAACUAAAACAACUUUUAACAAUGGAUCUCUAGGCUCUUGCAUCGAUGAAGAACGCAGC
rnacentral:misc_RNA from 1 species